rnacentral:rRNA from 1 species
UACGAAGGGGGCGAGCGUUGUUCGGAGUUACUGGGCGUAAAGGGCGCGUAGGCGGCGCUCCAAGUUAGGCGUGAAAGCCCCGGGCUCAACCUGGGAAUAGCGCUUAAGACUGGAGUGCUUGAGUGCGGGAGAGGGAUGUGGAAUUCCAGGUGUAGCGGUGAAAUGCGUAGAUAUCUGGAGGAACAUCGGUGGCGAAGGCGGCAUCCUGGACCGGUAUUGACGCUGAGGCGCGAAAGCCAGGGGAGCAAACAGG